GUUUGAUUAUGGCUCAGGAUGAACGCUGGCGGCAUGCCUAAUACAUGCAAGUCGAACGGAGUGAAGCCUUCGGGUUUCAUUCAGUGGCGAACGGGUGAGUAAUACGCAGGGAACCUGGCCAUGGCAGGGGGAUACACUCUGGAAACGGAGCAUAAGACCCCAUAGGCAGUAAGGCGGCAUCGCCUUACUGUUAAAGAAAGCUGAAAGGCUUUGGCGAUGGAUGGACCUGCGGUGCAUUAGCUUGUUGGCGAGGCAACGGCUUACCAAGGCGAUGAUGCAUAGCCGGCCUGAGAGGGCGGACGGCCACACUGGGACUGAGACACGGCCCAGACUCCUGCGGGAGGCAGCAGUAGGGAAUUUUCGUCAAUGGGCGCAAGCCUGAACGAGCAAUGCCGCGUGAGUGAGGAAGGUCUUCGGACUGUAAAGCUCUGUUGCCGGGGAAAAAGGGGAAAUGCAGGAAAUGGCAUUUCAUGGAUGGUACCCGGCCAGAAAGCCACGGCUAACUACGUGCCAGCAGCCGCGGUAAUACGUAGGUGGCGAGCGUUAUCCGGAAUGAUUGGGCGUAAAGGGUGCGCAGGCGGUCUGUUAAGUCUGAAGGCAAAGGGAUGAGCUCAACUCAUUUAUGAUUCAGAAACUGGCAGACUUGAGGACAGGAGAGGGCGGUGGAACUCCAUGUGUAGCGGUAAAAUGCGCAGAGAUAUGGAAGAACACCAGUGGCGAAGGCGGCCGCCUGGCCUGUGACUGACGCUGAGGCACGAAAGCGUGGGGAGCAAAUAGGAUUAGAUACCCUAGUAGUCCACGCCGUAAACGAUGAGGAGCAGGUGUUGGGAGUGAAAUCUCAGUGCCGAAGCCAACGCAGUGACUCCUCCGCCUGGGGAGUAUGCACGCAAGUGUGAAACUCAAAGGAAUUGACGGGGGCCCGCACAAGCGGUGGAGUAUGUGGUUUAAUUCGAAGCAACGCGAAGAACCUUACCAGGUUUUGACAUCGGAUGCGAAGGCGCAGAGAUGCGCUGGAGGCUAUCAUCCAGACAGGUGGUGCAUGGUUGUCGUCAGCUCGUGUCGUGAGAUGUUCAGUUAAGUCUGGCAACGAGCGCAACCCCCGUGGUAUGUUACUAACGCAUUUGGGCGAGGACUCAUAUCAGACUGCCGGUGACAAACCGGAGGAAGGCGGGGAUGACGUCAAAUCAUCAUGCCCCUUAUGACCUGGGCUACACACGUACUACAAUGGCGUCUACAGAGGGAAGCGACCCUGAGAAGGGAAGCGAAACCGGAAAAGGGCGUCCCAGUUCGGAUUGAAGUCUGCAACCCGACUUCAUGAAGAUGGAAUCGCUAGUAAUCGCGGAUCAGCAUGCCGCGGUGAAUACGUUCCCGGGCCUUGUACACACCGCCCGUCAAACCAUGGAAGCCGGCAACGCCCGAAGCCGGUGGCAUAACCUUUUAGGAGUGAGCCGUCGAAGGCGGGGCCGAUGACUGGGGUUAAGUCGUAACAAGGUACCC
rnacentral:rRNA from 1 species